AUUGAACGCUGGCGGCAUGCUUUACACAUGCAAGUCGAACGGCAGCGCGGGCUUCGGCCUGGCGGCGAGUGGCGAACGGGUGUGUAAUGCAUCGGAACGUGCCCAGUAGUGGGGGAUAGCCCGGCCAAAGCCGUAUUAAUACCGCAUACGACCUGUUGUUGAAAGCGGGGGUCCGUAAGUCCUCUCGCUAUUUGAUCGGCCGAUGUCGGUUUAGCUAGUUGGUGGGGUAAAGGCUUACCAAGGCGACGAUCCGUAGCUGGUAUGAGAGGACGACAAGCCACACGGGGACUGAGACACGGCCCAGACUCCUACGGGAGGCAGCAGUGGGGAAUUGUGGACAAUGGGGGCAAACCUGAUCCAGCAAUGCCGCGUGCGGGAAGAAGGCCUUCGGGUUGUAAACCGCUUUUGUUCGGGAAGAAAAACUCUGGGCUAAUACACCGGGGGGAUGACGGUACCGGAAGAAUAAGCACCGGCUAACUACGUG
rnacentral:rRNA from 1 species